rnacentral:tRNA from 1 species
GGCCUCGUAGCUCAGCUGGUAGAGCGUGUGCAUGCAAAGCUUAGGCGGCGUUCAUGCAUGGGUUCGAAUCCCAUCAAGUCUA